rnacentral:lncRNA from 1 species
GAGAUCUCUAUACGGCGCCGUUUCUAAGUUCUAAAAUAGUAAAAACUAUCGUGCGUGUUUCCAUUUUCAACCCGAUUUUGUCCUAUUCUUUUGAAAUAAAACCAGUAUACAUUAUUUUAUUGAGUGGAUUUUAAAAAUGGCCACUUUCAUAUUGUAAAAUUAAAAUCUAGCCUAUGAAAUAAAAACAUAAAAAAAUGGCCACUGUUACCAAAAUACCCUUCCACAUUAAAAAUUAAAAAAAUGGCCACUUUACACCACCCCUUUAAAAAAUCCCGCAAUUCACAACCAGUGUGAAUUCACAACCAAAAUUUUUUGGUUGUAGAAAUUCACACUGGUUGUGAAAUUGAGAAUUCACAACCAGUCGAAUUCACAACCAGAAUUUUUUGUUUGUGAAUUCACAACUAGUCGAAUUCACAGCCAAAUUUUAAUUCACAACAAAAAAUUAAUUCACAACUAGAAUUUUUUGGUUGUGAAUUCACAACAAACGAAUUCACAACCAGAUUUAUGUUGGUUGUGAAUUCACAAUCAGUAAAAUUCACAAUCAGAAUUUAAUUCACAACUAGAAUUUAUUUUGGUUGUGAAUUCAAGUAGUUGUGAAUUUGAGUUUUUAAAGUUUGAAUUCACAACUAAAACUAAAAUUUAUUUUGAUUGUGAAUUCGAGUUUUAGUUGUGAAUUAAUAGAUCUGAUUGUGAAUUCAAGAAUAUUAAGUUGUGAAUUCAUAGAUGUGGUCGUGAAUUCAAAAACAUUAAGCUUAUGUGAAUUCAUAAAUUUGGUUGUGAAUUUAAGAACAUUAAAAAAAUAAUUAUACAGCUCAAUCAAAUUGUUGUACAACACCAAAAUACAACAACUCAAUCUACCAUCAAAAUACAUCAAUUCCUCUAAAUCAACAAUCAAAAUACAACAAAAUAUUAUUCGAAUCAAUUCAAUCUACAAUUAAAAUACAACAAUCUCAACAGAUCUUAGAACGAAAAUCAUUAGCAGACAUAUCAGAUCUAAACUUUUUUUCAAGGAAUUAAAACAAAAAUCCCCAAAAUUACUCAGUUAUGGAACUAGGGUUUUUUUGCCUGGGAAAACGCGCCGCCUCUGAGCACGCUGCAUUGGCCUUUCCACGCGCUCGCCGCUCCUCCGCUGGCCACUGCACUGCGCCUUUCGAGCUCGAUGGUCCCCCUGCAGCCGGAUCUCAUUGCCGACAUCAUCCAUCCCGCGGCGGAGCAGCGGUGUUGGCUGAAAUUGAAGGAAGCUGGCGGCGACUGUUGCAGCGUAGAGGGAGAGAGAGAUCGAGCAGUCUGUCGUCGGAGGAGGUGGCGCUACGGAGAUUCGAAGUUGGAGGAGGCGGCGGACGCAAAAUCGAGCUCCAAAAUGUCCAGAUCUGUCGACGGCAACAAGAGAGAAAGCCGACGGCAGCAGCAGCGAGGGGAUCGGCGACGCGGCGUUGGAGGUGGCACGACGGCGGACGAUUUAAAGAGAGAGGGAGAGACCUGGAACCCCGGCGGUGCCAUGACCACAAGCCACCACCGUCGGGAUUAGAUGCGCCGCUAGAAUCUGGAUGGGCGGCGUUGUUUUCGGCGCCGCUAUGGGCGGAGACGACGAGGCUGGGGCGGCGGCGCUUCGCCGGAGGAGAGAAAGAAGGAGGGAGGGAGGUAGGGGAGAGAGAGAGCGCGAGAGAAGUGAGAGAGCGCAGAGAGAGAAAGCGAGAAAUAGCAACUAUUUAAGGAGGGGCAUUUUAGUCUUUUCACCCAAAAACUGGCUAAAAUUUUAUGUUUUUAUCCUAUAGGCUAAAUUUCAAUUUUGCUAUAUGAAAUAGGCUAGUUUCAUAUAUUGACACUAUUUUAUUUAAUCAAAUAUACUUUUUUAUUUUUAUUUUUCGCUCGUAAUUACAUAUCUUUAUGGGUCCAAAUAGAAAUGACCAUUCACAUUUCGGAUAGAAUUUUUGCUCGAUUCGAAUCGAAAAUUCAAAAUUUCCUUAAAAUUCAAUUCAAUUCAAUUGGAUUCGAGCCA